rnacentral:rRNA from 1 species
GACGAACGCUGGCGGCGUGCUUAACACAUGCAAGUCGAACGGAAAGGCCCUGCUUUUGUGGGGUGCUCGAGUGGCGAACGGGUGAGUAACACGUGAGUAACCUGCCCUUGACUUUGGGAUAACUUCAGGAAACUGGGGCUAAUACCGGAUAGGAGCUCCUGCUGCAUGGUGGGGGUUGGAAAGUUUCGGCGGUUGGGGAUGGACUCGCGGCUUAUCAGCUUGUUGGUGGGGUAGUGGCUUACCAAGGCUUUGACGGGUAGCCGGCCUGAGAGGGUUACCGGCCACAUUGGGACUGAGAUACGGACCAGAAUCCUACGGGAGGCAGCAGGGGGGAAUAUUGCGCAAUGGGCGGAAGCCUGAUGCGGAAACGCCGCGUGCGGGAUGCCCGCUUUCGGGUGGAAAACCGCUUUCGACUGUGACGAAGCGUGAGUGACGGUAAUGGGUAAAAAAGCACCGGCUAACUACGUG